GAUGAACGCUGGCGGCGUCCCUAAUACAUGCAAGUCGAGCGAACAGACGAGGAGCUUGCUCCUCUGACGUUAGCGGCGGACGGGUGAGUAACACGUGGAUAACCUACCUAUAAGACUGGGAUAACUUCGGGAAACCGGAGCUAAUACCGGAUAAUAUAUUGAACCGCAUGGUUCAAUAGUGAAAGACGGUUUUGCUGUCACUUAUAGAUGGAUCCGCGCCGCAUUAGCUAGUUGGUAAGGUAACGGCUUACCAAGGCGACGAUGCGUAGCCGACCUGAGAGGGUGAUCGGCCACACUGGAACUGAGACACGGUCCAGACUCCUACGGGAGGCAGCAGUAGGGAAUCUUCCGCAAUGGGCGAAAGCCUGACGGAGCAACGCCGCGUGAGUGAUGAAGGUCUUCGGAUCGUAAAACUCUGUUAUUAGGGAAGAACAAAUGUGUAAGUAACUAUGCACGUCUUGACGGUACCUAAUCAGAAAGCCACGGCUAACUACGU
rnacentral:rRNA from 1 species